UCUCCGUUGGUGAACCAGCGGAGGGAUCAUUACCGAAGUUAACUUCAAAACCCACUGUGAACCUUACCUCUUGCCGCGUUGUCUCGGCGGGAGGCGGUGUGCGUCGCGCGCCCUAGCGGGCCGCGCCGCUCCCGUCCCCGCCGGCAGCGCCAAACUCUAAAUGCACAGCGGACUGUACGUUCUGAUUUACCAACAAAACAAGUUAAAACUUUCAACAACGGAUCUCUUGGUUCUG
rnacentral:misc_RNA from 1 species